UACGUAGGGGGCGAGCGUUGUCCGGAAUCAUUGGGCGUAAAGCGCGUGUAGGCGGCCCGGUAAGUCCGCUGUGAAAGUCCAGGGCUCAACCCCUGGGAUGCCGGUGGAUACUGUCGGGCUCGAGUCCGGAAGAGGCGAGUGGAAUUCCUGGUGUAGCGGUGAAAUGCGCAGAUAUCAGGAGGAACACCAAUGGCGAAGGCAGCUCGCUGGGACGUGACUGACGCUGAGACGCGAAAGCGUGGGAAGGCAAACAGG
rnacentral:rRNA from 1 species